rnacentral:rRNA from 1 species
AGCGUACACGGUGGAUGCCUGGGCAGUCAGAGGCGAUGAAGGACGUACUAACUUGCGAUAAGCGCAGAUAAGGCAGUAAGAGCCGUUUGAGUCUGCGAUUUCCGAAUGGGGAAACCCAACUGCAUAAGCAGUUACUGUUAACUGAAUACAUAGGUUAACAGAGCAAACCGGGGGAACUGAAACAUCUAAGUACCCCGAGGAGAAGAAAUCAACCGAGAUUCCGGUAGUAGCGGCGAGCGAACCUGGAUUAGCCCUUAAGCACUCGGUGAAGUAGGUGAACAAGCUGGAAAGCUUGGCGAUACAGGGUGAUAGCCCCGUAACCGACGCUUCAUCGAGCGUGAAAUCGAGUAGGGCGGGACACGUGAUAUCCUGUCUGAAUAUGGGGGGACCAUCCUCCAAGGCUAAAUACUCCUGACUGACCGAUAGUGAACCAGUACCGUGAGGGAAAGGCGAAAAGAACCCCUGUGAGGGGAGUGAAAUAGAACCUGAAACCGUGUACGUACAAGCAGUAGGAGCACCUUCGUGGUGUGACUGCGUACCUUUUGUAUAAUGGGUCAGCGACUUAUAUUCAGUGGCAAGGUUAACCGUAUAGGGGAGCCGUAGCGAAAGCGAGUCUUAACUGGGCGCUCAGUCUCUGGAUAUAGACCCGAAACCGGGUGAUCUAGCCAUGGGCAGGUUGAAGGUUGAGUAACAUCAACUGGAGGACCGAACCGACUAAUGUUGAAAAAUUAGCGGAUGACUUGUGGCUAGGGGUGAAAGGCCAAUCAAACUCGGAGAUAGCUGGUUCUCCCCGAAAGCUAUUUAGGUAGCGCCUCGGACGAAUACUACUGGGGGUAGAGCACUGUUAAGGCUAGGGGGUCAUCCCGACUUACCAACCCUUUGCAAACUCCGAAUACCAGUAAGUACUAUCCGGGAGACACACGGCGGGUGCUAACGUCCGUCGUGGAGAGGGAAACAACCCAGACCGCCAGCUAAGGUCCCAAAGUAUUGCUAAGUGGGAAACGAUGUGGGAAGGCUCAGACAGCUAGGAUGUUGGCUUAGAAGCAGCCAUCAUUUAAAGAAAGCGUAAUAGCUCACUAGUCGAGUCGGCCUGCGCGGAAGAUGUAACGGGGCUAAGCAAUACACCGAAGCUGCGGCAAUGAAGUUUACUUCAUUGGGUAGGGGAGCGUUCUGUAAGCCGUUGAAGGUGAAUCGUAAGGUUUGCUGGAGGUAUCAGAAGUGCGAAUGCUGACAUGAGUAACGACAAAGGGGGUGAAAAACCUCCUCGCCGGAAGACCAAGGGUUCCUGUCCAACGUUAAUCGGGGCAGGGUGAGUCGACCCCUAAGGUGAGGCCGAAAGGCGUAAUCGAUGGGAAACGGGUUAAUAUUCCCGUACUUCUGACUAUUGCGAUGGGGGGACGGAGAAGGCUAGGUGGGCCAGGCGACGGUUGUCCUGGUUCAAGUGCGUAGGCUUGAGAGUUAGGUAAAUCCGGCUCUCUUUAAGGCUGAGACACGACGUCGAGCUGCUACGGCAGUGAAGUCAUUGAUGCCAUGCUUCCAGGAAAAGCCUCUAAGCUUCAGAUAGUCAGGAAUCGUACCCCAAACCGACACAGGUGGUCGGGUAGAGAAUACCAAGGCGCUUGAGAGAACUCGGGUGAAGGAACUAGGCAAAAUGGUACCGUAACUUCGGGAGAAGGUACGCUCUUGAUGGUGAAGUCCCUCGCGGAUGGAGCUGACGAGAGUCGCAGAUACCAGGUGGCUGCAACUGUUUAUUAAAAACACAGCACUGUGCAAAAUCGCAAGAUGACGUAUACGGUGUGACGCCUGCCCGGUGCCGGAAGGUUAAUUGAUGGGGUUAGCGCAAGCGAAGCUCUUGAUCGAAGCCCCGGUAAACGGCGGCCGUAACUAUAACGGUCCUAAGGUAGCGAAAUUCCUUGUCGGGUAAGUUCCGACCUGCACGAAUGGCGUAAUGAUGGCCACGCUGUCUCCACCCGAGACUCAGUGAAAUUGAAAUCGCUGUGAAGAUGCAGUGUACCCGCGGCUAGACGGAAAGACCCCGUGAACCUUUACUACAGCUUGGCACUGAACAUUGAACCUACAUGUGUAGGAUAGGUGGGAGGCUAUGAAGACGUGACGCCAGUUGCGUUGGAGCCGUCCUUGAAAUACCACCCUUGUAUGUUUGAUGUUCUAACUUAGACCCAUUAUCUGGGUUGAGGACAGUGCCUGGUGGGUAGUUUGACUGGGGCGGUCUCCUCCCAAAGAGUAACGGAGGAGCACGAAGGUGGGCUAAUCACGGUUGGACAUCGUGAGGUUAGUGCAAUGGCAUAAGCCCGCUUAACUGCGAGAAUGACGGUUCGAGCAGGUGCGAAAGCAGGUCAUAGUGAUCCGGUGGUUCUGUAUGGAAGGGCCAUCGCUCAACGGAUAAAAGGUACUCCGGGGAUAACAGGCUGAUACCGCCCAAGAGUUCAUAUCGACGGCGGUGUUUGGCACCUCGAUGUCGGCUCAUCACAUCCUGGGGCUGAAGUCGGUCCCAAGGGUAUGGCUGUUCGCCAUUUAAAGUGGUACGCGAGCUGGGUUUAGAACGUCGUGAGACAGUUCGGUCCCUAUCUGCCGUGGGCGUUGGAAGAUUGAAGGGGGCUGCUCCUAGUACGAGAGGACCGGAGUGGACGAACCUCUGGUGUUCGGGUUGUGUCGCCAGACGCAUUGCCCGGUAGCUAAGUUCGGAAUUGAUAAGCGCUGAAAGCAUCUAAGCGCGAAGCGAGCCCUGAGAUGAGUCUUCCCUGAUACUUUAAGUAUCCUAAAGGGUUGU